UGGCGACCGGCGCACGGGUGAGUAACNCGUAUCCAACCUGCCGAUGACUCGGGGAUAGCCUUUCGAAAGAAAGAUUAAUACCCGAUGGCAUAGUUCUUCCGCAUGGUAGAACUAUUAAAGAAUUUCGGUCAUCGAUGGGGAUGCGUUCCAUUAGCUUGUUGGCGGGGUAACGGCCCACCAAGGCAUCGAUGGAUAGGGGUUCUGAGAGGAAGGUCCCCCACAUUGGAACUGAGACACGGUCCAAACUCCUACGGAAGGCAGCAG
rnacentral:rRNA from 1 species